CAACUGAAUGCAAUGAAUUUAUGUUGUUAGAAAUUAGACAACUGUCUGGAGUUUGUCCAGGAGGAAUAACUUUGCCACACAUUACAUACAAUCCGUUCUUGCGGUACGCCUUGCCAAUUACUUCACCAGAAGCAAUGUCUCUGAAGUAUGCAACACCAUGUGUAAUAAACACACUCUUUCCUUUGUCCUCUACUUUAGAGAUUGAUAGCAAGUUACGCCAGCAGUUAAGUAUGUAUAGAACAUCUUGAAAAACAACGUCAUUUGUCUUGUGGCCAACAAAGAGACGCAUAUGGAUAUCACCUAUUCCUACGGCUGGU
rnacentral:lncRNA from 1 species